GUUGCGGCGGUCUCUAAUUCGCUUGGUGCAGGUCGGGAACCGACUCGCCGGUGACGCUGGCCGCGCUGGAAUCGGCGGCGUUAGUUUCAUUGAUAUUUUGUUUGUAUCUAUCGAUAUGUAGAGAGCUCUCUAUUUGUUAGUAAUUUUUUUUGUUGAAAUUAACUUGAUAUACGUAUAGAUAAGUAAAGAGUGUUUACCCCCGGUUGGUUAAGUAAUAGAUAUGUAGAGAGUUCUUUUUUUUUUUAAUAGAUUAGUUAUGUAUGAAAGUGCGCCUCGUCUAUGGCUAAGUUUGUUCCCGCCUUGCAUCAACUGAAUCGGUGACCGCGGUGAAU
rnacentral:pre_miRNA from 1 species